rnacentral:rRNA from 1 species
GAUGAACGCUGGCGGCGUGCCCAAUACAUGCAAGUCGAGCGAACGGACGAGAAGCUUGCUUCUCUGAUGUUAGCGGCGGACGGGUGAGUAACACGUGGAUAACCUACCUAUAAGACUGGGAUAACUUCGGGAAACCGGAGCUAAUACCGGAUAAUAUUUUGAACCGCAUGGUUCAAAAGUGAAAGACGGUCUUGCUGUCACUUAUAGAUGGAUCCGCGCUGCAUUAGCUAGUUGGUAAGGUAACGGCUUACCAAGGCAACGAUGCAUAGCCGACCUGAGAGGGUGAUCGGCCACACUGGAACUGAGACACGGUCCAGACUCCUACGAGAGGCAGCAGUAGGGAAUCUUCCGCAAUGGGCGAAAGCCUGACGGAGCAACGCCGCGUGAGUGAUGAAGGUCUUCGGAUCGUAAAACUCUGUUAUUAGGGAAGAACAUAUGUGUAAGUAACUGUGCACAUCUUGACGGUACCUAAUCAGAAAGCCACGGCUAACUACGUG